GCCUUGGUGGCUCAGGUGGUAGAGCAUGAGGCUUUUAAUCUCGGGUUUGAGUCCCACCUUGGGCG